rnacentral:rRNA from 1 species
UACGUAGGGGGCUAGCGUUGUCCGGAAUCAUUGGGCGUAAAGCGUGCGCAGGCGGUGAUGUAAGACAGUUGUGAAAUCCCCGGGCUCAACCUGGGAACUGCAUCUGUGACUGCAUCGCUGGAGUGCGGCAGAGGGGGAUGGAAUUCCGCGUGUAGCAGUGAAAUGCGUAGAUAUGCGGAGGAACACCGAUGGCGAAGGCAAUCCCCUGGGCCUGCACUGACGCUCAUGCACGAAAGCGUGGGGAGCAAACAGG